UGCAUCAGCCGGGAAUCGAACCCCGGCCGCCCGCGUGGCAGGCGAGCAUUCUACCACUGAACCACCGAUGG
rnacentral:tRNA from 1 species